UAGGGAAUCUUCCGCAAUGGGCGAAAGCCUGACGGAGCAACGCCGCGUGAGUGAUGAAGGUCUUCGGAUCGUAAAACUCUGUUAUUAGGGAAGAAUAAAUGUGUAAGUAACUAUGCACGUCUUGACGGUACCUAAUCAGAAAGCCACGGCUAACUACGUGCCAGCAGCCGCGGUAAUACGUAGGUGGCAAGCGUUAUCCGGAAUUAUUGGGCGUAAAGCGCGCGUAGGCGGUUUUUUAAGUCUGAUGUGAAAGCCCACGGCUCAACCGUGGAGGGUCAUUGGAAACUGGAAAACUUGAGUGCAGAGGAGGAAAGUGGAAUUCCAUGUGUAGCGGUGAAAUGCGCAGAGAUAUGGAGGAACACCAGUGGCGAAGGCGACUUUCUGGUCUGUAACUGACGCUGAUGUGCGAAAGCGUGGGGAUCAAACAGG
rnacentral:rRNA from 1 species